AUGGGAUUAGCUAGUACGCGGGGUAAUGGCCCACCUAGGCGACGAUCCCUAGCUGGUCUGAGAGGAUGACCAGCCACACUGGAACUGAGACACGGUCCAGACUCCUACGGGAGGCAGCAGUGGGGAAUAUUGCACAAUGGGCGCAAGCCUGAUGCAGCCAUGCCGCGUGUAUGAAGAAGGCCUUCGGGUUGUAAAGUACUUUCAGCGGGGAGGAAGGCGGUGCGGUUAAUAACCGCGCCGAUUGACGUUACCCGCAGAAGAAGCACCGGCUAACUCCGUGCCAGCAGCCGCGGUAAUACGGAGGGUGCAAGCGUUAAUCGGAAUUACUGGGCGUAAAGCGCACGCAGGCGGUCUGUUAAGUCAGAUGUGAAAUCCCGAGGCUCAACUUCGGGUCGCACUGGAAACUGGGGGACUUGAGUGCAGAAGAGGAGAGUGGAAUUCCACGUGUAGCGGUGAAAUGCGUAGAUAUGUGGAGGAACACCAGUGGCGAAGGCGACUCUCUGG
rnacentral:rRNA from 1 species